rnacentral:rRNA from 1 species
AUGGUUGUCGUCAGCUCGUGUCGUGAGAUGUUGGGUUAAGUCCCGCAACGAGCGCAACCCUAUUGUUAGUUGCCAUCAUUCAGUUGGGCACUCUAGCGAGACUGCCGGUAAUAAACCGGAGGAAGUGGGAUGACGUCAAUCAUCAUGCCCCUUAUGACCUGGGCUACACACGUGCUACAAUGGUUGGUACAACGAGUUGCGAGUCGGUGACGGCGAGCUAAUCUCUUAAAGCCAAUCUCAGUUCGGAUUGUAGGCUGCAACUCGCCUACAUGAAGUCGGAAUCGCUAGUAAUCGCGGAUCAGCACGCCGCGGUGAAUACGUUCCCGGGCCUU